UACGAAGGGGGCUAGCGUUGUUCGGAUUUACUGGGCGUAAAGCGCACGUAGGCGGAUCGUUAAGUCGGGGGUGAAAUCCUGGAGCUCAACUCCAGAACUGCCUUCGAUACUGGCGAUCUUGAGUGCAGGAGAGAAGAGUGGAAUUCCACGUGUAGCGGUGAAAUGCGUAGAGAUGUGGAGGAACACCAGUGGCGAAGGCGACUCUUUGGCCUGUAACUGACGCUGAGGCGCGAAAGCGUGGGGAGCAAACAGG
rnacentral:rRNA from 1 species